GAGACACCCCUCCGGGGCAAGACUUGCUUCAAUGGGGCUUUGGUGCUCACUGAAUCUGCCCCCUGAGUGUGUCCUU
rnacentral:pre_miRNA from 1 species